rnacentral:rRNA from 1 species
GACGAACACUGGCGGCGUGCUUAACACAUGCAAGUCGAACGGAAAGGCCCUGCUUUUGUGGGGUUCUCGAGUGGCGAACGGGUGAGUAACACGUGAGUAACCUGCCCUUGACUUUGGGAUAACUUCAGGAAACUGGGGCUAAUACCGGAUAGGAGCUCCUGCUGCAUGGUGGGGGUUGGAAAGUUUCGGCGGUUGGGGAUGGACUCGCGGCUUAUCAGCUUGUUGGUGGGGUAGUGGCUUACCAAGGCUUUGACGGGUAGCCGGCCUGAGAGGGUGACCGGCCACAUUGGGACUGAGAUACGGCCCAGACUCCUACGGGAGGCAGCAGUGGGGAAUAUUGCACAAUGGGCGGAAGCCUGAUGCAGCAACGCCGCGUGCGGGAUGACGGCCUUCGGGUUGUAAACCGCUUUCGCCUGUGACGAAGCGUGAGUGACGGUAAUGGGUAAAGAAGCACCGGCUAACUACGUG